rnacentral:pre_miRNA from 1 species
CAACUACUCCAUCCGUUCCAAAUUACUCAUCGCAGAAAUGGAUGUAUCUAGAUGUAUUUUAGUUCUAGAUACAUCCAUUUCUACGAUGAGUAAUUUGGAACGGAGGGAGUAGAUU